ensembl:lncRNA
GUGCCUGGGAGACCACUGACCUUUCUCGAUAUCAGGAUGAUCCAGUGGUCUCCACACGAGCGGUACUUUCUCAUCCCACUGGGUCAUCAGAGGAACUGCCAGGCAGUGUUCCUGAUCUGAGAGAAGAUGUCCAGUGGCGUAGACCAUAUAACAUCCAUAAUACACUCCUAGACCAGGAUAAAGAUAGAGAUGUAUGAUCGCAAUGAAGAGCAGACAUCAGGAGAUGAUUCAAGAACUGGAGGAGAACUUUCUCAUAGCAUCACGAGAGAAUCAGGAAAGCAGUGACCCAGAUGUACCACUAGAUAGAGCUCAAGCUCAGCUGGAGAUUUUGAAGGAUAACCUCUUGAAGAGGGAGCGAGAGAUCUCAAUGCUCAGGAAAGGACAAGAGCGUGUGUCAGCAUAUGCUCGCCUCCUCAGUGCUGUUAUUCAGCAGGCUCAUCAUGUUUAUGCUAAGCUAACAGAGGCUAAACAGCAGUUUGAACAAAUGGCAGAAUACAACCAAAAAAUUCUGGCAGAGUUUAAAGAAAGUCUUGACCAAACUGUGGAAGGGUCCAGGCAGAAGAGCCACGAGGAACAAGAGGAUGCACAGCAGAAAAUAGUGGAGCCACAGGUGGAGCCAAGUUCACAAGCCAGAUUACUCCAUCAUGAGGUCAUGCAGGUGGCUUUGGAGUGCAUCAGAGCAGGGGCUAAAUCCACUAUCAUUGGAAUUCGAGAAGGAUUUCCAAAAAAAUGGAUUCUUAAAUUAUGAAACUGAUAAAAGUGUGGGGCAGCAGCUAUUGUUACUGCAAGCUGAGGUUUCAGCCUGCAUGCUGGAGCUGUACAAUGACCGCCUACAGGAUCUCUUUGUGAGCCCCGCUGAAGCUUUCAGCAAGCGAGUUGAAAUUGAGAGGGACAGAAAGGGGCUUGUGUUCGCCCAGGGAGCAGAAACAAAAGAGGACACCAGCGCUGGCGAACUCUUUGCAUUAUUUGAGUAGGGCUGUGCAAACCACCACAUUGCGGCCACAA